UCUACAAAACCAAAAUUCCCAAAAUCACAAUCCGAAACCUUAACGUUCAGUUCAAUUGCCGAGAACACAGGACAACAACACAAAUUGGCUCGAUCAAGGAAAACUUUUACCAUUCUCACGAAUAUAAAUCAGAAACCCUAAAUAUUGCUCGAUUCCAAUUUGUUUGCUCGAGAAAAGGAACCACGAUUCAACAAUAUCAAAACACACGCAAAAUAUUAUACGAAACCCUUACGUCCAGUUCAAUCGCGAGAGCACAACGCAAAUUGGCUUGAUUUAGGCAAAUCCCAUUGUUCUCGCGAAUAUAAACAUAAAAAUAAAAAUAAAAAUCACCACAAAUGUUUUCUAAAUUUCACAGCAUCACGAACUGUAGAAAGGUAAGAGCAAAUAUUAUCAAUCAGAAACCAUAAUAUAACUCGAUUCCCCUUCUAUUGAAGGAUCAACUACACAAUAAGAUCAAAAACUCACAAAACAACGACCCGAAACCCAAAACUAUUGACAAAACACAAAUUGGCUCCAUCAACGCAAAUUUCGUCGUUCUCACGAGUAUAAAAAAAAAAUGACCUAAUUGGAAACGCAUCAGAAUUGGAGGCAACAAAAAGAUUUUGACCACAAGUGUGAGAUUAUUUUGAGAGCGAGAAACCCUAAUAUAAUUCGAUUCCCCUCCGGUUGCUCAAAAAACAAUAAGUUCUUUAGAGAGAGAACAGAACCAGUUUGAGAUGUGUUCGAACGACGGGAGUGAUCUGGCGGAAGUUCUUAGGAGAAUUGUAUGUCCACAUGGUGCGAGAAGACGAUUGGGAUUUGGAGAACUACUCAAGCACAAAACUCGGAACGCUUGGAGAGACGUUGGCAAGAUUUAUCAUAUAGAGAGAGUCCUGGAAGAGGAGGGGUAAAAUGGGCAAUAUCAGAAACUUAAUUCUGUCUUCAACAACUUCC
rnacentral:lncRNA from 1 species